rnacentral:rRNA from 1 species
GAUCAACGCUGGCGGCGUGCUUAACACAUGCAAGUCGAACGAAGUUUUUCCUUCGGGCGCCACUUAGUGGCGGACGGGUGAGUAACGCGUGGGUAACCUGCCCUGUACAGGGGGACAACAGCUGUAAACGGCUGCUAAUACCGCAUAAGCCCUUAGCACUGCAUGGUGCAUAGGGAAAAGGAGCAAUCCGGUACAGGAUGGACCCGCGUCUGAUUAGCCAGUUGGCAGGGUAACGGCCUACCAAAGCGACGAUCAGUAGCCGAUCUGAGAGGAUGUACGGCCACAUUGGGACUGAGACACGGCCCAGACUCCUACGGGAGGCAGCAGUGGGGAAUAUUGCACAAUGGAGGAAACUCUGAUGCAGCGACGCCGCGUGAGUGAAGAAGUAUUUCGGUAUGUAAAGCUCUAUCAGCAGGGAAGAAAAUGACGGUACCUGACGAAGAAGCACCGGCUAAAUACGUG